rnacentral:rRNA from 1 species
CCUACGGGAGGCAGCAGUGAGGGAUAUUGGUCAAUGGGGGAAACCCUGAACCAGCAACGCCGCGUGAGGGAAGACGGUUUUCGGAUUGUAAACCUCUGUCCUCUGUGAAGAUAAUGACGGUAGCAGAGGAGGAAGCUCCGGCUAACUACGUGCCAGCAGCCGCGGUAAUACGUAGGGAGCGAGCGUUAUCCGGAUUCAUUGGGCGUAAAGCGCGCGCAGGCGGGCUGCUAAGCGGGACUUCUAAUCUCGGGGCUCAACCCCGAGCCGGGUUCCGAACUGGCAGCCUCGGGUUCGGUAGGGGUAGG